UUGAAAUCUGGCUGGUUUACUAGUCCGAGUUGUAAUUUAAAGAAGCGUUUUCGGUGGCAGCCUGGGUAUAAAUCCUUUGGAAUAGGGUAUCAUAGAGGGUGAGAAUCCCGUCUUUGACCUAGUGCAUGCUACUAUGUGAUACGUUUUCAAAGAGUCGAGUUGUUUGGGAAUGCAGCUCAAAAUGGGUGGUAAAUUUCAUCUAAAGCUAAAUAUUGGCGAGAGACCGAUAGCGAACAAGUACCGUGAGGGAAAGAUGAAAAGAACUUUGAAAAGAGAGUUAAACAGUGCGUGAAAUUGUUGAAAGGGAAACGUUUGACACCAGUCAUGUGGGUGGAAAAUCAGUCUUUUGCAUUGGGGAGUUGUAAGGGUUCGGACCGCAAGGCCGGCUUUUGCUUCAUCUUUGGUGUAAGUGAUGCACUUUUUCAUCUACAGGUCAACAUCAGUUUCUUUUGCUGGACAAAACUCCGAGAGAAGGUAGCAGCUUAGGCUGUGUUAUAGCUCUGGAGCGAUACAGUGAAGGGGACUGAGGUUUUCGCAGCGUGUGCUCUCGGGCAAGGCUGGAUGGGUGCUAUGGGAUCGUUCGGGGUACAAUGCCUGGCAUUUUGCUUCGUGUCUUUUCUAUACUCGCUCAACUCAGCUCUUCCACGCUUAGGAUGUUGACUUAAUGGUUUUAAACGACCCGUCUUGAAACACGGACCAAGGAGUCUAACAUAUAUGCAAGUGUUUGGGUGGCAAACCCAUGCGCGUAAUGAAAGUGAACGUAGGUGCGAUCCGCAAGGUGCAGCAUCGACCGAUCUUGAUAUUUUUGGAUAGAUUUGAGUAAGAGCAUAUAUGCUGGGACCCGAAAGAUGGUGAACUAUGCCUGAAUAGGGUGAAGCCAGAGGAAACUCUGGUGGAGGCUCGUAGCGAUUCUGACGUGCAAAUCGAUCGUCAAAUUUGGGUAUAGGGGCGAAAGACUAAUCGA
rnacentral:rRNA from 2 species